GGCACACGCUCUCUCCUCAUCACAAGCCCAGAGAGGCACAAGGAUUAAAGGCCUGCCUGACAAAUGCAGUGGGAUUAGGAGCUUCCUUCUUUGAGCGCUUGACAGCCAAUCCGAUUUUAUCUCCCAAUGACAGGGCUUAAAUGCAACUCAGAAGUAAAGGUUGCAAUCCACAGACUUUCGCUGAUGGCUCCUGUCACAUUGGAGACACCACUGAUGGUGUGUGCGCUUAGAUCCCACAUCAGAGGAGGAAGGGCGUCUACACUGCAUGACUGAGCCAGCCCCAGGCCCAUCACCGUUCUUCUCAUCCUCUCUUAGCCAGAGGGACCACCUUUCAAGCAGAGCCAGUCCUUGCAGACACAAAAGUGUGGGACACAUAUGCCCGGCAGGCCAGGGCAGGCCCUAGGAGGGGCAUGGGAAAUGACUAAGACAAACCACAACCCCUCAACUUCCAGGAGAGAAUAAACAAAACAGCUUGUAACUGAUGCAAUAGCAGGAACCAUAUACUAAAACAAACCAACGUCAGAUAGGAAAGGAGACCAUUCCUGCAGCCUGGUGAUUUGUGACCCACCCCAUCAGCUAGUGGAGCGCUGUGGUGCUGGGACAUAGGGAAGGUCCAUGUGCUGCCAGCUGCAGGCAGCGUCUCCCCUCUGGGGCUUCUAGAGAGGACCACACGCCCUCUUCCUCUGCACAGGCUCCUGCCUUCAGACCCUAGCUCUCUAACAGCCACUUCUACCUCCCUUGUUUUCGGCAGAGCCCCUGGGCCUCUCUCCUCUUGCAUAACAAGUUCCACACCCCUGUCCAGCCCAACCCCCACCCUUGAAGGCCAUCUCUGCAGACUUCCUGAUUCCAGUGGUGCCACAUGUGACUUGACCAAGGCACCCUCCGCUGGCAGCCUCGGGCCCCAAGGGUCUGCAUCAGCUGGGCUGAGUGCCUUCAUCGCUCGAAGCUUCUCCAUCAGCGAGGGGCGCAGGAACACUGUUUCGGGGCUGCUACCUCAUUGUCUGAGGAGGAGCGGCUUGACUGGAGGUAUAUCCAAUCUCUGUAUUACCAUGCUCUGUUAUCAUGGCGUCCCACCGCAUCUUCCUUGGGUUUAAUGAACAGCACCAGAGUGACUCCUUCACUUCCCAGGACCAUCUCAGGAAUUUUUAAAUCGGAGCAUGAGGCUGAUGGGAAGUGGCUCUCCCGACCAGCAGGAACAUCUAUGGGGCAGCUGUGACGUGACUGAGGGUAGUGUUUGCUGAUAGGCCCUGCUAAUAAUCCAGUGAGAUGCUGGCAUUCUUGGCAGGGCCCAGAAAGAGCAGCAACAGACCAACAGCUCUCCUGGCCGCUAAGGCCCCUGUAAGAUUCCUGAUCCUUGCUGUUCCUGAGCAGAGGAGAUUGGGAAGUUCUGUGAGCCCAGCUGGGCCAUCCUACCUCCUGCAGAUGGGAGUUUUUGUCAAGAAACCUUGGUCACUAGCUGGUUUACAUAUAUCCCGUAGAAAGGUUUAAUCCGCCUUUGAAGCUACUCGCUGGAGCAGAGCUUGAUAGUAGAGCCAGGAGAAAAGGAAUUCCUGGGGAGAUGGUCCUUUGCACCAGCACUGCCUCAUCGCAAGGGGAGGGACUGAAGCUCUUCCAGCCUGUGAGUCUCUCCUGAUUUUGGGGUGGCCAGGGAAGGGUAGGAAGAGGCCUUGGGGAGGGGAAGAGGACACUUCAUGAUACUUUUGAUUCUAGAAUUAUAAAACAAACUCUCUGCUCUUUACCAUAAUGCAUUUCUUAUUCUUUUAAUUUCUUGGAUUUUGCUUAAGCCAAGGACCCAGGGAAUCCUCAUGGAUCCCAGUGAAGAGACUAAUUGAUGAUUUUCCCCCAACAGAGUCCAGUCCUGGCGGCGUGGGCCACAGAGUCAGUGGACCUCCGCCUGCUGGUCUGCCGCCUCCUCCGGGCUGCACCUCUCACUCUUUGACCCUUUAGGGCAGGUGCUUGUCCUGAUAGAAGAAACCCCUGGAGCCCCAUCUGUGCUUGCUGGGGAAACCCUGAGAAAAAUGCGCUUUCUCAAAGAAAAGCACUCACUGCAGAAAUGUAGGGCCCAGCCUGCAGGGCACUUCGUGAGAGCUGGAACACUGGACCGCGCGGCUACACGUUGUUGGACUUUCUUCAAGGGACAGUCGUUCUACAUUGGCUCAACAAGUGUGUUACUUACCCAGUUGCCUAGGAGUGCAGGCCAUCUGUGCAAUGGCAAAAUGCAUUCUUUUUAGAAUCGUUGCAGAAUAAGGGGCUUUAACGUGGUUGCUCAUAGUCCUGGUGAUUAUUCUCCAGAAAUUUUGCGAAUAAGUAUAUUUCUUGAUUCCUGGAAUAGGUGCUGUCUAGCAGGCCUGGAAAUAGAGCAAAUGUUGGUAAAGCAGAUGAUAUUUUCCAGUUGACUUUUAUGAUAACCAGAGCUCUGUUGCCAUGGAAAAAAUCCAUCAGUACUCUGAGUUGAAAACAUUUGGGAAGAAGGCUGAUGGUUAUUUCCAGUUCCAUAGAGAGCAACAUUCAUCCAUUCCACAGAUACUCACGGAAAGUCUGCCAUGUGCCACAGUGUCCUAGGAGCAAGGGAUCCAGCAGUGAGCAAAGCAGACACACAUCUCUCCUCUCACGGAGCACACGGCCUGGGAGGGGGAGCCAGGUAGUUAUAAAAAAUAGGUAAACUGCAGAGUCUGUCAAAGGGUGAUAAAUGCUGUGGGGGAACUGAAGCCAGGAAGAAAGAGUGGAGGUGGAGGUGGGGAUAGACAGGCACAGCUUCUCUAAGCAGGUGACUUUCAAACAGGCCCUGAGGAAGAGCGGAGGCAUCCACGUGGAUACUGGGGAUGAAUUCCCAGGAAGAGAUAGCAGCCAGUGCAAAGGCUCUGAGAUAAAAGUCUGGGGCUGUCAAGAAACAAUCAAAAGCCCAGUGGGCAGGACUAGGGUGAGCAGAGGGGAGAGCAGUGGGACAGAGGUCAGAGGCGGCUGGACCCCAGGCUCUGCAGGCCUCUCGGGGCCGGCCACCAUCUGCCUUGCCUUCCUUCCUCAAGGUAUCUCUGCUGCUGGCCCUUCCCAUGCACAAACAUCCAUAGCCCACCUUCCUGGAGGCCCAGCUGUAGGGCCUUCUCUGGCGUCUCUGGCCACAGCCAUUGCUGACGCCCCUCGCUGCUACCGAGAGCGCUCCUUACUCCCUGGGUCUUCCAGUGCCGCCAUGUUGAGUCGCAUCAUUUCCUGAGUGUCUUCACUUCCUGUUCAGAUUCUUGCUGAGUCUGGGUUAACCAUGCGGGGCCUUUUCCUGUAUUUCCUACAACAGUUGGUGCAGCGUCAGGCAUCAGCUAAUGCAAGAAUACCUGUGACAUGCAAACUCCAACUUGCCAUUUCGAGCUUUAAGAACGUUAGGAGCUCCUUUUCCUUUUGCCUGGGAGAUAGAAUGCUGUCCAGGGAUUGUUUAGUCUUGUCUACUAAAAUAAAAUACUCUUAUUUUAAGUAUAACGAUCUAAU
rnacentral:lncRNA from 1 species